UCGGGGUGCAGCAGGCGCGAAAACUUUACAAUGCUGGCAACAGCGAUAAGGGGACCUCGAGUGCCAGGAUACAAUCUUGACUGUCGUGAUGCCUAAAAAGCAUUACAUAGCAAGGGCCGGGCAAGACCGGUGCCAGCCGCCGCGGUAACACCGGCGGCUCGAGUGGUAACCGCUAUUAUUGGGUCUAAAGGGUCUGUAGCCGGCCGGAUAAGUCUCUUGGGAAAUCCGACAGCUCAACUGUCGGGCUUUCAGGGGAUACUGUUCGGCUCGAGGCCGGGAGAGGUGAGAGGUACUUCAGGGGUAGGGGUGAAAUCUUGUAAUCCUUGAAGGACCACCAGUGGCGAAGGCGUCUCACCAGAACGGUCCUGACGGCAAGGGACGAAAGCUAGGGGCACGAACCGGAUUAGAUACCCGGGUAGUCCUAGCCGUAAACGAUACUCGCUAGGUGUCGGCCACGGUGCGACCGUGGUCGGUGCCGUAGGGAAGCCGUGAAGCGAGCCACCUGGGAAGUACGGCCGCAAGGCUGAAACUUAAAGGAAUUGGCGGGGGAGCAC
rnacentral:rRNA from 1 species